AGUAGGAUCAUUUAUUGUCGAUUGUUUAUUGUUGGUUUGGCUCUGCACAUGAGAUGUGUUGACAGUAUGAAAAAUAUAGAAAACCGCCAGUUAAAUCCUUUAAAUUAAAUUUCAGGCAGGAACCGAAGAACAAAAAUCCUGAAAUUAGCUCCCUACAAAUGAGACUGACCUCCCAAGAAAGUCGAUAGCAUCGUUCGUUUCAGCAAAUCCCCCAAAACAGCAUCUGUUUAUGUUCAAGUGACAAAGCCCUCUAGUGGCCAAACGAAUUAUGACUCGUCAGUCCAUGGAAAAGCAGUCAUUUUGUGUGAUGUUAUAGGGAAGUCAGUGUGGACAGAUGGGUCAACAAAUCAUUGAACUUAAACAUGGGAGACUGUUCAGUCAAGACACUUUGAGAAAGGCAGCAUGAUCCCCCAGCUGCUUUAGUGCAGCCAGUGGAUAGCUAGCUGCCCUUUGGGGUUAACAAGUGUAAUUGCAGAGAAAGGAGACAGUAAUUUCCAGCAAUCAUCCAAAAGAAGAAGAAGAAAGAAAGUAUCUUUGCCUCAAGAGAGAACAUUUUAUGAUGAUAGAGAGAGAAAUGGAGGCAGAAACCAACAGCAGAUGAACCAAAAAUGACACAUUCAUGAACACACAGGGGUUUUGGUGGCCUUGUAGUGACACUGAACUGGAAAACUUCAAUUCCAGUCUGAAGACUUUUAGUCUGAAGACUGACUGACUAUAACGUUUUAUGUUCAUCUUAUACUCAUGUUUAUAUUCAUGUUUGUCCAGAACUACCAUAUGCAGGUAUUUGCAGAGUAAAAAUAUUAAAUGGCUAUUGCUAAAAAAGUACAGACCAUAAAUAGUAUCAAGAAAAGGGUUAGACAUGAUGAAAAUCGUAAGUAUUACAACUUCAACAGCUAUGCUCUUAUUUCCUAGAACUUAUAUUUAUUAACAGUUCCUAAAGUCCACACUGAAUGAGCUAAAAGCUAAUUAAAAGUUGAUCUAAAAUUGCAAAAUCUGGUUUCACUUCAUUCAUUCUGAUAUUGUGAUGUAACAUGGUGACAUUUUGUGUUAUUUGUUUUUAUGUUGUUUGUCUGUACUCGUUGUUGUUGUUGCCCUUG